GGGUAGGAAGAGGUCAGGAACCAAGAAGGAAGUGGACGGACCGUGGAGCCCCCGGCCCCCGGCCCUGGAGUUCCCUGGACGUCUCCACACCCCAAAGAGGAGAAAUGAGAGGCUGCUGCCCACGCGAUGGCAAUUUCUCUUCUGCAUUUUCUUGUCCACCGUGGGGGCUAAACGACAUCUGGAGAGACUUCUGCUGAGCCAGACGAUGGGACCAGAAGGUGCUCGGUCCAGUGGAGAUGUUGAAAGGGGUGGACCUGCCUUGGCCACUGGGCCCUGUCUGUGCCGGUUUUGAUCUGCAGAGCCUGCCCCGGGGACAAAGCACGGGAGCUGGGCUGCCCCUCGUCUCAGGAAGCCCUCCCUUCCCUGCCUCCCUGAACCCCUUUCUUCUCCUUCCCACUGUCCUAUCUCUGUAAGAAAUGCAGACAAGAGAAAAUGCCUAUCUGUGUCUCCAGGUGACAGCCAGAGUGAAUGCACAAGCAUUUGUCACCAAGUGUGUCCACAGACGGCCGUAGACUCCACCAUCGGAAGGGUAGACUCCAUGCUGGAGGCCACCCCACCUUCCAAUCCAAACGCAGCCUUGGGGCAGGGUCCCCGAGCCUCCAGUUUGUGAUGCAAAGCUUUGGUUGUUUUUCUUUUUUUUUUUUUUUUUUAAAGACUCAAGCCCUACGGAAGCAUUUCCGUUCAAGACGAAAUUGUUUAAUUGGACAGAGGAAAGAGUCUCGGGGGAUUCAGAGGGAAGGAGGCUGAACUCUGUGCAUUUUCUUUAUCCGCUCUUAUCUUAAACCCUGUGUCAGAGAGGGUAAACAGAUGCUUCUAUUUCUGUGCAUCUGAGUUGGCAACACCAACGUGUUGUGCACAUAAAGGUACAUAUUGGCUUUUUAUGAGACGCUGGGUUAAACACCCUUCAUCUUUCUGGAUGCGCUCCUGUACGCGACAGAUUCGGAAAUCCUAAAAGCAAAUCUUAGCAGAGCAAACACGUUUUCUCUGUAGAAGUGCAGUCACAGAAGAGAUUACAUUCCCCUGCGACUGGCCCCCUACAUUCAGCGGUAAUAUUAGAGCAUCAUUCUAACACACAUGUAUACAUGUAUAAUUUCCAAAUCCACUCACACCAGCUCCAUUUUGAUCGUGGGAAUGCCUUGCCAACGGCAGGGGGAGAAAUUACAAGUGGAUCUGGUCUUUGUCCCUGGUGAAGGCUGGCGCGGCUAAACAUCCAGUUUGGUGACUGACUCACAUACCUUCUCAUCGCUGCUUAGAAACGGUGACGGCAAAAGCCCAGAGACAUCCCUCACCUGUUUGAGGGGCUCCGGCUCCGAAGCAUACUUAGUGUUUACCCUUGAAAAGGUCAGGGCCUAAGAAAAAGAGGGAAAUCUAAAAACCAUGCAUAGUUUUGUUUUGUUUUGUUUUUUUCAGGUGAUCGGUCCACCGGUUCGAUAGCAACAACAGCCUGCUUCGUCCCAGAGUGGGCAUGCAGUUUCGAGCUAACUGGUCGUGGCUAGAAUAGCACUAAGAUGCAGAUUUGAGGGCACCCAGCUAGACUCUGGAAUUGGGUUUGGAUUUGACAACAUAUGAAAUCUGGGGCACUGACCCUUCAUUUCCUCAUUUAUAAACUGGGGAUGAUAACAGUACAACCUAAGGCACAGCCGUCUUGUGAAAAUUGAAUAAAACAUGGAGCACGAUGCCUGGGACGCACUUGGUGAAUGUUAGCUGCUGUCAUUUUUAUUCUUUUUCAUGAGAGGGAUUAUUUAUUGGAUUGGGAGUGAACACCGAAAGUGGCAAUCCGAUUGGAAAAAAAUUGGGCACAUUUUACCCCAGAAUAACUUGUGCAUAGUCAUGAAACAAAAUACAGUCGGAUUCGUUGGUGGGGUCUUGCGUUCCCAUCCCUGCCUGCUGGGGGUCUGGCCAAGGUCCUGGCUGGGAUCCGAGGAGUCUUCUUUCGUAUCAUGUCCUUGCCUCUUUUUCUCAGCCUCUUUUGUGAGCGAGACCAGAGGGUGUCACGACAGCCCACACCGGCCUGACACCGUCCUGACUCCAGGACCGACUCUGCGCUCUGGAACAUCCUUCUCCUCUUCUGUGGCUGAGGAAAGAUCGUGGCAGGUCUCCCUGAAAACGCCCCCCAGAAAUGCCUGCCAACAUCCAGAGAUGAGGUGGCAAAAGGUGAGACCUUCCAAGACAGAAGACAAAGAGGCAGCCAUGCCUGAGCAAAUGAUUUCCCAUGGUUGCUUCCCUCCCCGGCUACACGGGCCCCUUGGCUAAGAGGUGCACAAUCCGGGCCAGAGCGAACAUACUCAGCACGGCGGGUCCAGCUGCUAGACAAGCUGAUUCUCAAGGUCACAGGAAGAAUCUUGACAGCAUCCUUCUGCGCCCUAGACCACACAGGGCUAAGAGCUGAUGCGCUGCUCUCACCUGCCCGGGUGGAUUCCAGAAUCCCCUCAUGCGUCUGCAGCAACAGGAGGGGAGAAACCAGGGGACUCUGCCCAAGAGCUCGAUGAGACGAGUACAUCCGAUGACAGACGCUUACAUGGUGGCUCCCGGGAAGGUCAUUGCCACUGCACGUCUAGCAAAAGCUAGAGCGUAGUUCCCUGUGCUGUGCAGUAGGUCCGUGUUGAUUAUCUCUUUUCCAUGUCGUCACGUGUAUAUACGUGAAUCUCAAACUCCUAAUUUACACCCCCUCGUCCCCUCUUUGGUAACCAUAUGUUUGUUUUCUAAGCCGAUGAGUUUCUGUUUCGUAAAAAAAAAAAAAA
ensembl:lncRNA